UACGACUCUAUGCUCAAGCUUUAGAAAUGGGGAUUAUUUUGGUCAUUGAAUCUGAAAACAUCAAGAAGGAACAACUGAGACUUCUGUUAGUUUCUUUAUAUAUCUCACCACAGGUCUGAUCAUGGGCAGCAGUUAAGCCUCCCGAGAUCACUCCAGACUCUGAUGUUUUAUUUCACCCAGAGUAGAAGCGGGUCGCUUACCAACACACAGAGAAAUCUCAAGGAAACCUUGCUCAAACCCACACCCAUGGUUCGGUGGCAUGGAUGGGCUUCCCGUCAAGGUGCACUUGGCCAAGGCCACAGGCACUGAGGCCUUGGGGUGGGAUCUACAGCCUCCAUCUGUGUCCUCACCACCUGUGGUUUCGAGAGUCUCCAAGGGCCUUGUGGAAGAAUUGAGGCAAGGAGAUGCUGAUGUUCGUUGGCCUGGCCCAAUUCCAAGUUUGAUAAUUAGCCGUCCCCCUUCCUCAGUCUUCCUGCCAUUUCCCUGAGACAGACGGGCUCUUGCACAGUUCCUGCUAACUGAGCGAUGCCAAAGAGCCAGCAAAUCCCACCCUUGGGGAAGCUGCAUGUCAAGAUAAACAUUCCUUCCACAUCUCUUGGUAAAUUACUUAGGUUUACCUUGGAGGAAAGGUGUUGAUUUCUAGGGAUAGUAACGGCGUAUUAAGGAGUACUAAAAAAUUAUCCUCAGAUGGUUAGAGGGAAAUACCUGAAGCUGUCAAACUGCAACCCAGUGACCUUGAUUCUCAGAGACGACUAUAUAACUAUGUAGAUUGCAUAGUGUGACUGUGUGACUGUGAAAACCUUGUGGC